CACAGCUAAGGAGACAGCUGAGGAGACAAGAGGGGUUGAGAGUGGCUGUCCUCAGCAAGGUUGUGGGGAGAAGCCAUCCAGGAGACUGGAUCCUUUAGGCGAGAGAGCCACGCUGGAGAACAGCCAGCAAGAGGGAGCCCACGGAAAUAAUGUUCAGCGUUUUCAAGGCGAGGGGCCUUUGAAGGAUUUCCCUGAAGUGCUGCUUAGCUUUGUUGUUUUGGCCACUGCAGCCAGGGAGAACAGUCCAUCAGCAAUCACACCAUUAAAAGCCAGUGUAACAUAACAGGGCCCCAAUCCUGCAAACCCUUAUGCAGACAAGCAACUCCACACAAAUGAGUUCUCCCACUGACUUAAAAGCCCUCAGAAUCUGUCUUUAUGCAAAAUUUGAAUCUUCACACGCAAAGCCCUACAAACUGCUGAACGUGAAGAUGCAAAGCUGCCUUCUCUUGAAAAUGCAUCCCUUUCCACUUGAAUAAUGUACUUAUCUUGCCAAAGUUUAUCACAGGAAUGAGCCCACUUCGGGGUUUGUUAUAAAAUGUAGCACCCCCCACCCCUGAAUUUUACAUUGUUUUGCAUUUAAUUACAAAUAAUUUGCAGGCCUCAACUUAAGAUCACAUUUGCAUCUUAUUUGUAGUCUGUAUUAAACUGUAGAAGUUAUUUAAAAUUCAAAAUGUAAAAAAAAAAAAAAGCGUAAUUCUGGCUUGCCAUAAAUUAAAGGGCUUUUGGGGGCUUUUGUAGGAGAAAUGAGUGACAAAAAUGCACUAUGUAUGUUUUAAAACCGCCCUAAAAAAGCCUCAGACUUGUGAAGUGAGCAAUAAAUGGUAAAUAGCCUUUGUAAAGCACACGAGGUUUACAAAGUAGCUUUAUGUAUAGAAUAAUUUACUGUUAUUAAAAAGGUAAAUUGCUGGAAUAGCACUUUUCUCCCCCACUGUUCCUACCCUCGUUAUAGUAGCCAAAUUAGCGCUGUGCUGUGUGGAUGUUUAUUUGGGGAGGGUUCUGCGGCAGUGGUAUUACAUUCCUACAGUGGGAUUCUGGCACACAGCCCAGUUGUUAGCC